AUGUUUGACAAGCUCGGCCUCAAAGCGCCCGACCUCGGCGCGCUCUCUGGCGGCCACACCAUCGGCGAUGGGCACUGCAGCUCCUUCGAGAAGCGGCUCUACCCGCACCCGGACCCCUCCAUGAGCCCUUCCUUCAUUGCCAGGCUGAAGCAGACGUGCCCGGCCAAGGGCACCGUCGCCCGCACCGCGCUGGACGUGGGCACGCCCAAAGUGUUCGACAAUCAGUACUACGUCAACCUGUUGCACCGGGAGGGGCUCUUCGUGUCCGAUCAGGACCUCUUCACCAACGACAUCACCCGGCCCAUUGUCAAGGGCUUCGCACGCAGCCAGCGUGACUUCUUCAACCAGGAUAGUCAAGAUGGGCCAGAUCAAGGUUCUCACCGGUGGCCAGGGCCAGAUCCGCUGCAACUGCGCCUUCCGCAACCUCGUGCAGACCGUCGUCGAUGCCGCCGCGGAGAGCUUUGGCUUCUAGAAUCUAGUGGAGUAGUAGCUGUUAACCAUGUAUGUCGAAAUAAGAGCUGA
rnacentral:rRNA from 1 species